rnacentral:rRNA from 1 species
AGUGAACGCUGGCGGUAGGCCUAACACAUGCAAGUCGAACGGCAGCACAGUAAGAGCUUGCUCUUACGGGUGGCGAGUGGCGGACGGGUGAGGAAUACAUCGGAAUCUACUUUUUCGUGGGGGAUAACGUAGGGAAACUUACGCUAAUACCGCAUACGACCUACGGGUGAAAGCAGGGGAUCUUCGGACCUUGCGCGAUUGAAUGAGCCGAUGUCGGAUUAGCUAGUUGGCGGGGUAAAGGCCCACCAAGGCGACGAUCCGUAGCUGGUCUGAGAGGAAGAUCGGCCACACUGGAACUGAGACACGGUCCAGACUCCUACGGGAGGCAGCAGUGGGGAAUAUUGGACAAUGGGCGCAAGCCUGAUCCAGCCAUACCGCGUGGGUGAAGAAGGCCUUCGGGUUGUAAAGCCCUUUUGUUGGGAAAGAAAAGCAGCAGGUUAAUACCCCGCUGUUCCGACGGUACCCAAAGAAUAAGCACCGGCUAACUUCGUG